CGCGUAGGCUGCGGGGCAAGUCGGGUGUGAAAUCUCAGAGCUCAACUCUGAAACUGCACUCGAUACUGCUUUGCUUGAGGACUGGAGAGGAGAUUGGAAUUCACGGUGUAGCAGUGAAAUGCGUAGAUAUCGUGAGGAAGACCAGUGGCGAAGGCGGAUCUCUGGACAGUUCUGACGCUGAGGCGCGAAGGCCAGGGGAGCAAACG
rnacentral:rRNA from 1 species